rnacentral:rRNA from 1 species
GAUGAACGCUGGCGGCGUGCCUAAUACAUGCAAGUCGAGCGAACAGACGAGGAGCUUGCUCCUCUGACGUUAGCGGCGGACGGGUGAGUAACACGUGGAUAACCUACCUAUAAGACUGGGAUAACUUCGGGAAACCGGAGCUAAUACCGGAUAAUAUAUUGAACCGCAUGGUUCAAUAGUGAAAGACGGUUUUGCUGUCACUUAUAGAUGGAUCCGCGCCGCAUUAGCUAGUUGGUGAGGUCACGGCUUAUCAAGGCGACGCUGCGUAUCCGACCUGAGAGGGUGGUAGGCGACACUGGAACUGGACCACGGUCCAGGCUCCUGCGGGAGGCACCAGAAGGGAAUCUUCCGCAAUGGGCGGAAACAUGACGGAGCAGCGCCGCGUGAGUGAUGAAGGUCUUCGGAUCGUAAAGAUCUGUUAUUAGGGAAGAACAAAUGUGUAAGUAACUAUGCACGUCUUGACGGUACCUAAUCAGAAAGCCCCGGCUAACUACGUG